GUGCUCACUUUGGCAGCACAUAUAUUAAAACUGAAACAAUACAGAGAAUAUUAGCAUGGCCCCUGAGCAAGGAUGAUGUGCAAAUAUGGAAGCAUUCCAUAUUUUC
ensembl:snRNA U6 U6 spliceosomal RNA